GAUGAACGCUGGCGGCGUGCCUAAUACAUGCAAGUCGAGCGAACAGACGAGGAGCUUGCUCCUCUGACGUUAGCGGCGGACGGGUGAGUAACACGUGGAUAACCUACCUAUAAGACUGGGAUAACUUCGGGAAACCGGAGCUAAUACCGGAUAAGAUAUUGAACCGCAGGGUUCAAUAGUGAAAGACGGUUUUGCUGUCACUUAUAGAUGGAUCCGCGCCGCAUUAGCUAGUUGGUAAGGUAACGGCUUACCAAGGCGACGAUGCGUAGCCGACCUGAGAGGGUGAUCGGCCACACUGGAACUGAGACACGGUCCAGACUACUACGGGAGGCAGCAGUAGGGAAUCUUCCGCAAUGGGCGAAAGCCUGACGGAGCAACGCCGCGUGAGUGAUGAAGGUCUUCGGAUCGUAAAACUCUGUUAUUAGGGAUGAACAAAUGUGUAAGUAACUAUGCACGUCUUGACGGUACCUAAUCAGAAAGCCACGGCUAACUACGUG
rnacentral:rRNA from 1 species